rnacentral:lncRNA from 1 species
UAAAGCCUACUCACUGCUCAAUGUACAAUUUGAUGAGAUGUUCUACACAACUUCCUCAUUGUUCUAUAUAAAUACAUAAUUAAGCGACUAACAUUCAUCACAAACUCACUGGUCUAAAGUCUUUUCCUUAAAACUGUACAAGUCCUAGUGUUUCUUCAGUUUUCUGAACUCUUCUCUGAAAGAUCUAUAGUGUCAUGGGUAUCCGUAUGCUUCGUAUUACUAAUCUCAAACAAAUCCUUAACCUCUCAUCUUUCUUAUUAAAUCCUGAUCUUACUUCAACGAUUCCAAAGGGGUGCUUGGCAGUUUAUAUUGGGGAGAGGCAAAGAAGCCGAUAUGUGGUACCUAUUUCAUACCUGAAUGAGCCUGCCUUUCAAGAUUUGUUAAGUCAAGCCGAGGAAGAAUUUGGUUUCAAUCAUCCGGAAGGAGGUCUUACAAUUCCUUGCUCAGUGGACACAUUCAAUGAAAUCACUUCGCGCCUGAACAAUUUAUAUACUUGUAGAUAGUACAGCACCUCCGACCUCAUUUAUUGAGUUUCUGAGUGUAAAUUGUAGAACAAAUAGAUUUUUCAUAUAUGAUUUGUAGGGAANGAAAUUUCAACGUAUAAUCUCCGGGGAUAUAGAAAAUACAAGAACUUAUGCAGAUGGUAGGCUUAGACCCUUAAUUCCACAAGAUUUUGUGAUGAAUUUGGUUGAGGAGAUUUUGUGAUGAAUUUGGUUGAGGAUAUCACAGUUUUUAUAUGGAAAUAACAAGUAAUGAGCGGUUGAUCAAAAUACAGAUCGAGUGGCACAGAUGCAUCAGGCAAUAGCACAUGGUAUUCUCUUUCAAAGGCCACACAUAUUUAAGAGUAAUGCUAGGACUUGAAUGUCUGCUGAGAGACAUCAUGUCCUAUGGCUUCUGUUCAACAAAUCUGGACCUGAUAUGUUUUAUAUUUUAAGCUUAUGGUGGAGAUAAGACAGAAUAUAACGUAAUAUAUACGGAUAUGAACAACAUACAAAUAAUUUGGCUGGAAAGUUCUCACUUUGCCUGGCAAGCAAGGUAGCAAAUUUUAAGUUUUUAGUUUUUGUGGUCAGUAGUCUGAGUGGGACAAACAAGUUAGGUACUCAUGUGAUAGUGUUUUCAUUCACCUCAUAUAAGUUUCUGUAAGAAACAGAUUAUCAGACUGGUAGGAAACACCUCAUAUAAGUUUCAUGUGAUGGUGUUUUCUUGACCUAUCUCAGCUGUUUCUUUUGUUGAAUUGAUGGUCUAGCUGCAUUAUGUCAAAAUAUCAACUUGAAGCUGGAAGAAACACUGUCACAUGAACACUUAUUAUUUCAAACCCAAAUCAUGUGCUAGUGUCUAAAGCCUACUCACUGCUCAAUGUACAAUUUGAUGAGAUGUUCUACACAACUUCCUCAUUGUUCUAUAUAAAUACAUAAUUAAGCGACUAACAUUCAUCACAAACUCACUGGUCUAAAGUCUUUUCCUUAAAACUGUACAAGUCCUAGUGUUUCUUCAGUUUUCUGAACUCUUCUCUGAAAGAUCUAUAGUGUCAUGGGUAUCCGUAUGCUUCGUAUUACUAAUCUCAAACAAAUCCUUAACCUCUCAUCUUUCUUAUUAAAUCCUGAUCUUACUUCAACGAUUCCAAAGGGGUGCUUGGCAGUUUAUAUUGGGGAGAGGCAAAGAAGCCGAUAUGUGGUACCUAUUUCAUACCUGAAUGAGCCUGCCUUUCAAGAUUUGUUAAGUCAAGCCGAGGAAGAAUUU